GUACGGCCGACCGUACGAUUUACGAUCAGCUCGAGUGCACCGGCCCGAGCGAUUGUCGCGUUUCCACAAGCCGGGAAGUGCCCGGUGGAAAAACCACUUCACAAAUCCGUUGUGACAUCACUAUCUCUUCGUUCAAUCUCAAAACCGCAAUAAAAUGGAGGCGAAUCGAAAACAGCCGGCCGCUGCAAAGCCCCCCUUCCCCUCCCCCCAUUCCCAUGUACGAUUGAUGGCAUUUGCUUUCCAUACAAAGCAUGAAUUACGGGAUUUGCCAGGCGGUGGACGAUUGAUAUUAAACACCAAAUAAAACACUUUAAUAUCAAUUUUCUUGAUCCCCUUAGGGCUGGAACCGAUAAGAUUGGCUACUCGUGGUCGUGAGGACGUGCAACAAGCUGUUAAUGCUGGGACACGGACUGCUGCGAUAGGGGUUUUGUUUCUAAAAGAUUAACGAAAGAGCUUAAGCUGCAACCUAAUCUGGAUAAACAAAAACACCCUACCUGACCAUGCAGCCAAGCAGUAACCUUCACCAAUGCUCCAUCGUUCCAAUUUAGUUGUUUCACUCAUUCGCAACCCCAGACCCAGACGCAAUACCAUUUUACCAUGGUUUCGCCCCGCUCGUCGAUGCCGAAGCUUUUUUCGAGCACAAUCAACAUCAUCAUAUGCGCUUUCGUAAAUAAUGCAUAGUGACGGCUCUUUGUUUGGGUUAGUGGUUCAGCAGAUCGGUAGAAGAGUGACGCUGGACUUCGGUUUCGCGUUUGCAGGGGAUGGGAAGGCUUGUUUGGGUUUAUCUUGUGCUGCUGCAGAUAGAUACAGCUGACUAGCUACUUCGAAGCCAAACUUAUUUGCGAAAGCAAUAACACGGUGCAAAGAUGAUGAGAUGCAUGAGAUUCAUAAGUUAGUGGAAAAUGCAUCGACGGUUCAUAUUUAUAAUGCCAACCAAUUAUGCUGCAUUGGGUGAAGUUGUAAACAAACUAUCAGGAAAACCCAUGUUAUUGGGUAAUAUUGUAAAAUGAAAAAAUACUGACUGGAAUUAAUGAUUUGAAAAAUGAUAACCAACAAUAUAAAUGUUUACUCGUUUUACCAUGUUCGAAAUAUAAGAUCAUAAAUGCUACCAAGAAGUUAGAAGAAGUAAAAAAAUAAAAACAUGCAAAUGCAAAUGCAAAUGCAAUGCAAUGUUUUAAUGCAAAUCUAUUUUUGAUUUUAGUGCCGUAAGAACGUGUUUUCAUUUUUUUUGUAUUUUUUUUUCGUUUCAUAUUUCGUUAAUUAGAUUCAUCCUAUUACACACAUCACCAGACAUUGUACCAUAAGAAUAGAGAGAGUAUCAAUAGUUGUGAGAGAGUUGGUAAGAAUAAUGCCCGCUAAUCACGGCGAUGUGACGAGCAUUACAUUUCCAUAACCAAAAGUAUGCGACUUCAAUAAAAAAACGUGUAAUGUUAUAAAAAGGGAAAGGACUUCUUCUAUAAUGAGUAAGAACGAAUAUGCUCCAUUGGCAACAUCAGGCGUUGUAGUUCAUAAAUUGUAAAAUAAACCUUUAAUUGUGUAGCAUU